UACGGAGGGUGCAAGCGUUAUCCGGAAUCACUGGGCGUAAAGGGUGCGUAGGCGGGUCUUUAAGUCAGGGGUGAAAUCCUGGAGCUCAACUCCAGAACUGCCUUUGAUACUGAAGAUCUUGAGUUCGGGAGAGGUGAGUGGAGCUGCGAGUGUAGAGGUGAAAUUUGUAGAUAUUCGCAAGAACACCAGUGGCGAAGGCGGCUCACUGGCCCGAUACUGACGCUGAUGCACGAAAGCGUGGGGAGCAAACAGG
rnacentral:rRNA from 1 species